GAUGAACGCUGGCGGCGUGCCUAAUACAUGCAAGUCGAGCGAAUGGAUUAAGAGCUUGCUCUUAUGAAGUUGGCGGCGGACGGGUGAGUAACACGUGGGUAACCUGCCCAUAAGACUGGGAUAACUCCGGGAAACCGGGGCUAAUACCGGAUAACAUUUUGAACCGCAUGGUUCGAAAUUGAAAGGCGGCUUCGGCUGUCACUUAUGGAUGGACCCGCGUCGCAUUAGCUAGGUGGUUGGGUAACGGCUCACCAAGGCAACGAUGCGUAGCCGACCUGAGAGGGUGAUCGGCCACACUGGGACUGAGACACGGCCCAGACUCCUACGGGAGGCAGCAGUAGGGAAUCUUCCGCAAUGGACGAAAGUCUGACGGAGCGACGCCGCGUGAGUGAUGAAGGCUUUCGGGUCGUAAAACUCUGUUGUUAGGGAAGAACAAGUGCUAGUUGAAUAAGCUGGCACCUUGACGGUACCUAACCAGAAGGCCACGGCUAACUACGUGCCAGCAGCCGCCGUAA
rnacentral:rRNA from 1 species